rnacentral:rRNA from 1 species
UACGAAGGGGGCGAGCGUUGUUCGGAUUUACUGGGCGUAAAGGGCGCGUAGGCGGCCUGGCAAGUGGAAGGUGAAAUCCCUCGGCUUAACCGAGGAACUGCCCUCCAAACUGCUUGGCUUGAGUCCGGGAGAGGUGAGUGGAAUUCCCAGUGUAGCGGUGAAAUGCGUAGAUAUUGGGAGGAACACCAGUGGCGAAGGCGGCUCACUGGACCGGAACUGACGCUGAGGCGCGAAAGCGUGGGGAGCAAACGGG